rnacentral:rRNA from 1 species
UACGAAGGGGGCUAGCGUUGCUCGGAAUCACUGGGCGUAAAGCGUGCGUAGACGGUUAUUUAAGUCGGAUGUGAAAGCCCCGGGCUCAACCUGGGAAUUGCAUUCGAGACUGAAUAGCUAGGGUACGGUAGAGGGAAGUGGAAUUUCCGGUGUAGCGGUGAAAUGCGUAGAUAUCGGAAGGAACAUCAGUGGCGAAAGCGACUUCCUGGACCAGUACCGACGUUCAGGCACGAAAGCGUGGGGAGCAAACAGG